rnacentral:rRNA from 1 species
UCAAGUUACUAAGGGCAUUCGGUGGAUGCCUUGGCACGGGUAGGCGAUGAAGGACGUGGUAAGCUGCGAUAAGCUCCGUCUAGGUGCAAACAACCUUUGAGGCGGAGAUUUCCGAAUGGGAUAACCCCCCGUUUUAAUAGACGGGUAUCACCCGCUGAAUCCAUAGGCGGGAGGAAGCAUACGAAGGGAACUGAAACAUCUCAGUACCUUCAGGAAGAGAAAGUAAAAACGAUUCUCCUAGUAGCGGCGAGCGAACGGGGAAGAGCCUAAACCGCUCGGCGCGUCAAAGUCUGCAGACGUUGCGCCGUCGGUGUCGUGGGAACUGGAAUUGGUUCGACUGCAGUCGGGCCGGGAAGUUACAAACUGUCUGUUUAGCUGAAUAAUCUGGAACGAUUAGCGAUACCGGGUGAUAGCCCCGUAGGCGAAAGGCUGACAGCUUCCCUUGUCCGGUUUCCCAAGUAUCACGGAGUACGUGGAGUUCCGUGUGAAUCCGCCAGGACCAUCUGGUAAGGCUAAAUACUAACCCGUGACCGAUAGUGGACAAGUACCGUGAGGGAAAGGUGAAAAGCACCCCGGGAGGGGAGUGAAAUAGUACCUGAAACCGUAUGCCUACAAGCGGUCGGAGGAAAGGUGUCUCUUCGGAGGCGCCGGACUGACGGCGUGCCUAUUGAAUAAUGAUCUGACGAGUUGCUUCUCGGUCGCAAGGAUAAGCCAAACACUGGCGCAUCCGUAGCGAAAGCGAGUCUGAAACGGGCGAUUUAGUGGCCGGGAGCAGACCCGAAGCCAGGUGAUCUAUGCAUGGCCAGGAUGAAAUUUCGGUAAAACGAAAUGGAGGUCCGAACGCACUAACGUUGAAAAGUUAGGUGAUGAGCUGUGCAUGGGGGUGAAAGGCUAAUCAAACCUGGAAAUAGCUGGUUCUCCUCGAAAUAGCUUUAGGGCUAGCCUCGAGUAAUAGAGUGGCGGAGGUAGAGCACUGAAUGGGCUAGGGGCCCCACAAGGCUACCGACCCCAAUCAAACUCCGAAUGCCGUCACUUGUUUCUCGGGAGUCAGGCAGUGGGGGAUAAGCUUCAUUGCCAAAAGGGAAACAACCCAGACCGCCAGCUAAGGUCCCCAAGUCGUGCUAAGUGCUUAAGGAAGUGAGAUUACUUAAACAGCUAGGAUGUUGGCUUAGAAGCAGCCAUCAUUUAAAGAGUGCGUAACUGCUCACUAGUCUAGUGGUCUUGCGCCAAAAAUGUACGGGACUAUGCACGGCACCGAAGCUGCGGAUUUCGUCCGGAUUCGUCCGGACGGAGUGGUAGGGGAGCAUUGUGUGCGGGUUGAAGGUUGAUCGUAAGAUUGGCUGGACUGCACAGAAGAGAUUAUGUCAGAACGAGUAGCGAUAAGGCAGGCGAGAAUCCUGCCCACCGUAAACCUAAGGUUUCCUGGGGAAGGUUCGUCCGCCCAGGGUUAGUCGGUCCCUAAGCCGAGGUCGAAAGGCGUAGGCGAUGGAAAACAGGUUAAAUAUUCCUGUACCGGCGAAGUCGCGUUUUAAUCUAAGGGGUGACGCAGAAGUGACGGUCAGUCCCGAGCUGGUCUUCGGGAUCCAAGCCCGUAGAUGGGGAGCGCAGGUAAAUCCGCGUUCCUAACAUCGAGAGGUGAUAGGGAGGACUUCGGUCCACAAACUGACCUUAAUCAGGCUGCCAAGAAAAGCCUCUAUGAUAGUUGCUUUGCCGACCGUACCGCAAACCGCCACAGGUAGGUGAGGAGAAUAUCCUAAGGUGCGCGAGCUAACCCAUGUUAAGGAACUAGGCAAAAUGACCCCGUAACUUCGGGAUAAGGGGUGUCCUCAGUAAGUGAAGCGGUUCGCCCGCCGAGCUGAACGGGGCUUCAAAAAAGAGGCCGUGAUGACUGUUUACUAAAAACCCAUGUCUCUGCUAAGUCUAAAAAGACGAUGUAUAGGGACUGAUACCUGCCCGGUGCUGGAAGGUUAAGAGGAGAGGUCAACUGCUUAAUUGUGGUGAAGCUUUGAAUCGAAGCCCCAGUAAACGGCGGCCGUAACUAUAACGGUCCUAAGGUAGCGAAAUUCCUUGUCGGGUAAAUUCCGACCUGCACGAAUGGUAUAACAAUUGCGGCGCUGUCUCAACAUGGGACUCGGCGAAACUGUAGCAGCGGUGAAGAUGCCGCUUACCCGUAUCGGGACGGAAAGACCCCGUGAACCUUUACUAUAUCCUGGCAUUGGCAUUUGGUCAGACAUGUGUAGGAUAGGUGGGAGGCGUUGAAGUUGGCCCGCUAGGGUCGAUGGAGCCACCGUUGAAAUACCACCCUUGUUUUAUCGGAUGUCUAACCUUAGGCCUUGAAACAGGUCAAGAAACAGUGCCAGGUGGGUAGUUUAACUGGGGCGGUUACCUCCAAAAGCGUAACGGAGGUGUGCAAAGGUUCCCUCAGGCCGGGUGGUAAUCGGCUGUAGAGUGUAAAAGCACAAGGGAGCUUAACUGUGAGACAAACUAGUCGAGCAGAUGCGAAAGCAGGCUUUAGUGAUCCGGCGGUUGUGCAUGGAAAUGCCGUCGCUCAACGGAUAAAAGGUACUCUGGGGAUAACAGGCUUAUCGCGCCCAAGAGUUCACAUCGACGGCGCGGUUUGGCACCUCGAUGUCGGCUCAUCGCAUCCUGGGGCUGGAGCAGGUCCCAAGGGUUUGGCUGUUCGCCAAUUAAAGCGGUACGUGAGCUGGGUUUAGAACGUCGUGAGACAGUUCGGUCCCUAUCUGAUACGGGCGAAGGAUACUUGAGGGGAGCUGACCUUAGUACGAGAGGACCAGGUUGGACCGACCGCCAGUGCACCUGUUGUCGCGCCCGCGGCAUGGCAGGGUAGCUGCGUCGGGAAGGGAUAAGCGCUGAAAGCAUAUAAGCGCCAAGCCCACCCCAAGAUUAGGUAUCCCACCGGGUAACCGGUCUAAAGGCUCCUGGAAGAUGACCAGGUUGAUAGGUUACUGAUGUAAGCACUGCAAGGUGUUGAGUCUAGUAAUACUAAUAAGCCGUGCGACUUGAUCGA